GACGGGGGGUCCUAGCGUUGUUCGGAAUCAUUGGGCGUAAAGCGUGUGCAGGUGGUUUGGAAAGUUAGAUGUGAAAUCCUUGGGCUUAACCCAAGAAGUGCAUUUAAAACUCCCAAACUUGAGUAAGGAAGAGGGUCGUGGAAUUCCAGGUGUAGUGGUGAAAUACGUAGAUAUCUGGAGGAACACCGGCGGCGAAGGCGGCGACCUGGUCC
rnacentral:rRNA from 1 species